UACGAAGGGGGCUAGCGUUGCUCGGAAUCACUGGGCGUAAAGCGCACGUAGGCGGCUUUCUAAGUCAGGGGUGAAAUCCUGGAGCUCAACUCCAGAACUGCCUUUGAUACUGGAGAGCUUGAGUCCGGGAGAGGUGAGUGGAACUCCGAGUGUAGAGGUGAAAUUCGUAGAUAUUCGGAAGAACACCAGUGGCGAAGGCGGCUCACUGGCCCGGUACUGACGCUGAUGUGCGAAAAGCGUGGGGAGCAAACAG
rnacentral:rRNA from 1 species